UGCUUUCUCGAGCGAGUGGCGAACGGGUGAGUAACGCGUGAGGAACCUGCCUCAAAGAGGGGGACAACAGUUGGAAACGACUGCUAAUACCGCAUAAGCCCACGGGUCGGCAUCGACCAGAGGGAAAAGGAGCAAUCCGCUUUGAGAUGGCCUCGCGUCCGAUUAGCUAGUUGGUGAGGUAACGGCCCACCAAGGCGACGAUCGGUAGCCGGACUGAGAGGUUGAACGGCCACAUUGGGACUGAGACACGGCCCAGACUCCUACGGGAGGCAGCAGUGGGGAAUAUUGCACAAUGGGGGAAACCCUGAUGCAGCGACGCCGCGUGGAGGAAGAAGGUCUUCGGAUUGUAAACUCCUGUUGUUGGGGAAGAUAAUGACGGUACCCAACAAGGAAGUGACGGCUAACUACGUGCCAGCAGCCGCGGUAAAACGUAGGUCACAAGCGUUGUCCGGAAUUACUGGGUGUAAAGGGAGCGCAGGCGGGAAGACAAGUUGGAAGUGAAAUCUAUGGGCUCAACCCAUAAACUGCUUUCAAAACUGUUUUUCUUGAGUAGUGCAGAGGUAGGCGGAAUUCCCGGUGUAGCGGUGGAAUGCGUAGAUAUCGGGAGGAACACCAGUGGCGAAGGCGGCCUACUGGGCACCAACUGACGCUGAGGCUCGA
rnacentral:rRNA from 1 species